GGAGAGCUACGCAAUCCCUGAACGCCCAUAGGCUGUACCAGGUGUCAAUCAUAGAAAAUAUGAACCCCCUAAUAACUUUUAAAAACGGAGCUGUACAGAAAAAAAAAGAGGACUUGAGCACAAACCAGUCUUACUGUAACUACAUGUCAACAUCACAAGCAGGGGGGAGAAAAAUGUAUGUUCUGUUUAAUAAAUUUCUAAAGUUUGUCCACAGCUCCAUAAGCUUUGCUGGCGGAGGCGGGAUUUAUGACCUAUACUGCAGCCCACCAUCAGAGGGUGCUGUUCCCGGAGUGGCUUCACCCAGCGAGGAGGCAGACUCUGUCCGUUCUAUAUACAGUCUAUGGUGGGACCACAACAAACAGAGCACGUUAGUUUCUUUGCAAAAUGACAACAGCUUCAGCAGCCUCCAAAGAGCGGUCGAUUCUCUCGCCACUGAGUUGACUGCAACUGUAUGAAAGUACUUUGGAUUUUAUGAGAGGGCGAACAAGACGACUGAGAAGACCUACACCAUUUGCAAGAUUUGCAAAGCAAAACAAAGAACCUCAGCAACGCCAUGAACGUGAGGCAGCACCUCAUACGCUUUCAUCCAGAAACAGAGAAGGCUCCUCUGGUCAUGCUCGCCACACAGAGGACCAUCCAGGAGACUGUCUCUAAACUUCCCAAUUUAGGUUAAGUAGGUCUAAGUUCAAAUGUUUACAUAACAGUCAUACAGUCAUAAAAUAAAAUAUCUCGUGUCUUUGAAAAAUACAAGUCAAAUGUUUAAAAAACCUUGUUAUUUACUUAUUGAGUGUAGUUUUAGAGGAACCAAGUUUAUUGAUAUGCUAUUUAUUUACAAAUGUAGCCACAGAUGAAGACAAAAUCAAUCUUGUAUGAAAAAAAAGCUUUAAGAAUGGCAAUAAUUGAAGAAUAGGGGCACCGAUAAUUGAAUUGAAGUGAAUCGACAAUCAUCAUAAUCGAAGAAUUGAAGCUCCCAUAAUCAAAAUUGAAUCGUGGGGUACCCUUGUUGGAACACCCCUAAUGUCCACCGUAGGAAUGGUGGAUGGCUAACACACCUGUAAAAUACUCUGCUCACUCUCAAGUUAAAGGAAUAUCAUGACUUUUUUUCCCCACUCACCUCCACUUCUUUACUUCAUCAUACCGGCUCAGAUCGGGGGCUGAGGCAAGUUUCAGGAGAAACAAGAUGAAGUUGUUUUUCUUUUUAGAAAAUUUAAUGUACCCAAAUGAUUGUGUAAUUGCUUGAGCUGUUACCUUGACACAUGAUCUGUGAUAGCCUGGAAAUAGCGAUAAAACCAGCCGUGGGUACAGUUUAAAUGACUCCUGAAUUUAAAAACAAAGUCAUACUGCAAGGCUCUAUGAGUAAAAAAAAAUAAAAAAUAAAACAUUUUUCUCUUUGCUUUCUUCUGUGUGGAGUUCAGGGUCAGCUACAAAGCAGCAUCCUACAGUCAGAAAAGAUUCAAUACACUGCUCAAGGACACUUCAGCAGAGGGAUGCUUGCCAACAACACAGGGCCUGAACCUAAAUCCCAGAUUAAAUUCUACCCUCAAACACUUGUCUUCCCUCCAUCGCUCUAACUCCCUUGUCCUUCUCGGUAUAUAGUCAUUCGGCUGGCACCCUCAUGCAGAUAAAGAUCCAACACAUGUAAGAGCAGAGUGCUUUUUAGCUCCCGGAUCUGUAGCUUUACAGGCAACAAAAAGCAAGAAGGUCUAAGGUGACCGGAGAAGGAUCGUGGAAGAGCAAAAAGCUGAAAAACACGGUGAUGUUUCAUCACUUUCACUCACCCACUACCUUCUCACUUCCUUCCCCUAAGCAUCUCAUUAACUGUCUCUCCCUCUCAGUCAGGGUCAUUUUCUGACUCUCUUCUGCUCCUCAUCCCAGCAUUCCUUGAGUCACCUUUUUCCUAGUCUCCCCACUUCUCUCUGCCUUUCUCCCUAGCUUCUGUUUUAAAGUGAAACGAGUGUGUUUGAUGGGGAGCUGAAAUAAAGGGUGGAGGAGGGGGACGAGGCAGGGGGGUGAUAAGACAGCAGGUCCUAUAUAUAGCAGUGAGCGUGGGUAGAUACCGUAUUGACAGGGAAGACACACAAAUUGUAUCUGAAGCAAAGCAGAGGGAGAGGGAGGGAUAAUGAGCGAGAGAGAGAGAGAGAGAGGGAGAGAGAGACAGAGAGAGAGAGAGUUACGUUUUGUGUUUCUUUGAGAGAUCUUGAAAAUUAUCAGUUAAAAUCCAUUACUCUCUAUUAUUCAAAGAAUCAGAAGUACCUCUGAACUUUUCUGGAUCUUUGAAUCCAAACCAUAGACUGUCAUUGACUGUCCGCCUUCCGUCAUUAUAAGAAUUUGAAGCUGCAUUGCUGUCGGUAUUUCCGGGAGUUUCUCCACUUCCUGGAACCACCACUUGCGAAGUAGCGUUGUACGCAUUCAGUGGAAGAGUGUGAUGACGCUCGGCUCAAACAGCGUAUCCCACGGGUGAGCUACACAAUCCAUAGGCUGUAUCAAGUGUCAAUCAGAAAACACGAACCCCCUAAUAACUUUUAAAAUGGAGCUGCACAGAAAAAAAGAGGACUUGAGCACAAACCAGUCUGACAGUAACUACAUGUCAACAUCACAACCAGGGGGGAGAAAAAAUUAUGUUCUGUGUAAUACAUUUCUAAAGUUUGUCCACAGCUCCAUAGGGAUUGUUGGAGGGUGCGGGAUUUAUGACCUAUACUGCAGCCCAUCACCAGAGGGUGCUGUUCUUGCAGUGGCUUCACCCAGCGAGGUGUCCCUAACACGUUGCUCACCAGUGUUACAGAACGAGGGCCAUUUUGAUAUCGAAACUUGGUUGUAGUUAAAGUGUGAAAAAAGACGCUUCUUUUUUUCUUUACAUAAAAAUAAUUCUGCACAGUGAAAAUACUUGGUGUCAGAAAUUUCUGAUGUAAAAUUACUGAAACUUCUCAGAGCAGCCUGACAUCAAAUCUUUGGUGACAGUUUCUCAGACUACACAAGAAUGUUCACUUUAAACUUUAAAGUUUCCAUUUAGAAGAAAACAGGUGUUUCGUCCCUCAUAAAGAAGGUUUAUGCUCAUUUCCAGGGUUUGUAUUGUUCUUCUGAUAGCUUUAUAGUCGCUUUAUUUUACAGCUCAAUAAAUUCUUUAUUAAUCCAGAUCGGCCCUCUUUAAAAAAACAUCACUCCAGCCCCAGACUGAAAUGUUUCAUUUCAUCUGCUGUCUCUUCAAGACUCCCUCAGCACUCUGGAAGCGUCCUUCACUAUUGUCCUGCAAAACAAAACAGCAUUUCUUUAUUUAGAGUGACUAAAUAUAAAAUAGGACCAUAUGUUUUGGAUGGGAAAUCUGAUCCAGAAAGUUUAGACAGAGACAGACACUCCUCAAUAACAAAUGAGAAAGAGACGUCUCGUUUGGGGAUGUUGUGUUUAUCACUGUCCUUUAUAAGAUUGUAUUCAAAAAAGGAAAAAAAAGGUAAUUUAACUUCGACCCCUGCACACAUACAUUUUCAGGGAGGGAAAAACUGGUUAUGUAGGUGGUGGGAGGGUUAGAUGACAUCAGAUUAUUUUUUUUUUUCAUUACGCGCUAACUAACAAUGUAUUGACAAACCCAGGGUUCGAAUGGGCAGUAAAGUGGACAUUAAAGCCUCUAACAUCAUCUGCUUAAAUUCAGUGACAGACCCGUGACCUUUGAAAACACUGCAGUGACCCCGGCGCAUGAUGAUAAAUGCUGAAGGAUAUGGAAGCUGCAACAUCAUGGACUAACUUACUCAUAACUUACUCAUUUUUGUUUUACUUAUUUGCAGGAAACAAACAUUGUUUGCUUUCUAACCGUCUUUCCUGAGCAUUCUCAUUUCUGCCAGACUUUCUUUGCUGUCCUCCCAGUUGUCGCCACAAUUAACUGUAAGACUCUGCUGGCUUAUGUGCAUGCAAUUCCAUAUAUAAGGGGCUUUCACUAAGCAUUGAUGAACAAAUGCUGGUGUGUAGAAGGCUGAAAACCAGGCUGAUCCAUGUGAAUGUAGUCCAAGAUGGGUUGUAACUUGUAAAGAAAACAAUGUGUGGAUGAGUGCAUGUCCACAGUUUUAUAAAUCUGAAUCAUUUUUUAAAACACGUCAUGUCUGCAUGGUUUGAGUAUUCCCACUUUUAGCAUGGACUCUAAGUACUGUUUUAUAAAUGAGACUCUUCCUGAGCUACAGUCAUGAGGCUAUUUUAGGAGACUCAUCAACAGGUGAUGUCAUAAUAAAUGUGUUGUGGCUCUCCCCUCCUCAUCAUGAGACUUUCUGAACAAACCACUGAGAGCUGGUUGUAGUCUUAUCUUGGAUGAGACGCUAUUUGAUGCAAGUUUGUAGCUUUGCCCAACAUCUUAACUCAGUGCGUCUUUGAACUAGGGCUGUCAAAAUGAAUGCAUUAACACGGAUUAAUCCAUGAUUAAAUUUAAUUUUUUUUAACACAAUCAAACCAUCUACAGCACAGAAUGACUAAAAUUCCCUGAAAUGUCUCAGGCAAAUACAUUUUGUCCGAGUAGUGUUACCGUCGCACAUGUGCGAAUGAGCUGUUGAUCCUAAUACAGUGCCUGUGUUAGAGUCAGCAUUAAACUAGAACAUGACCAGAUGAAAUUGUUACCUCCACACACGGAAAUAAAGGUCUCAUAUGCGCUUUUGGUUACCGUCUAGAGCCCUGUUAAUAUGGAAAAUGCGAAACAACACAUUGGCCCUCUCCAUGCGAAAGUUGAGAACAAAAACGCAUGACAGAACAGUCGACCAACGUGAAGUGUUUACGUACACUCUGCUGGAAGGAGUUUUCUUUUCACCAAAGCACUUCCAGCUAAAAAUACUGCAUCAACACAAAGCAUAGGUGUUAAACGUGCAUAACAUGUUUAGUGCAUGUAUAUAUUCCCUUCUUCCUUGACUCGCUUUGCUCAUGCAAAAUGAAACACGAUUAAUAUAGGCAGAAAGUGCUGAUUGUUAUAAUACAUGCAGCAGCCCACUGCAUGUUUCUGCGUGUGCAUAUGGAGACAAGUGGAUCAAUGUACUGUAUUGUAAAAAAUGAGAUGCUUUUCUGCCAUGAUCAUAAACAAAGGAAACUAUAUUGACUUUUGAAGCUGUUCAUAUAUCCUCUUUGUUUUGCCAUUAACCCCUCUCUGAGAGGGGCUCAUCUCUCCCUCCUGCUUCAUAUCCUCACACUCCUUUCCUUUUCCCAUUUUUCCUCAACAACACCACAAGCAGUAUUUCAAUCCUAUGGCUGCCAUCUCCUCCAUGCUUCUCUUGUCUUGUAUUUACCUUCUUCUUGGUUCUCUGUCAAGUCCUAGUUUGAGACCUUUUAUAUUUCAACUGCAAUAUGAUAUGAUUGGACUGAAUGUGAAAACAACUGUAACAGAAUCAGCAAAAUCAACAUCUGCUGCGAGUGAAAAAACUGUGAAUGACAGUAAACGAAAAGAGGAAGUAAACGUUGAUGCAGCAAUAAAACAGGAACAAUGCCAGUCUGACCCCCCACCCCUCUGUUUAUGAGUGGGUUAGCUGCUCUGAGAGGGCAGAGGAAAAAAGAAACUGUUCUUACUUCCUUGACUUUAAUUGCAUUCACAAAGUUCGGCUCUGGCUUCUCACUUGAAUGGAGCUCUGAAACGAAGCCAGUGGGGAAGUCUGGCAUUAAUUCACAUAAAAACAUUAAGCACUCAAAACAUCCCAGGUUCCACUGUGAGGAGUUUUAUUUCUCACCCUGAGGUCUGGUUCAGUGUGUGUUUUUUUCUCCUGCAGAAGAACGUCUAAAAAAGCUGUUUCAGUCUAAAGCCCAAAACCCACAGGAUGUGUGUUAGGCGUGUUCUGUCAGCGCUCCAUUCUACGCAGCAAAUACGUUCCCAUUUUAAUCAAUGAAGCAUCGCGCACAGGAAGUGUUGCAGUGCAUCUCAGCUCCGUCCCAGAAGUGUCUCUAUGGUGCACCGCUAAAGAUACACACUGAGUCUAUAUUUCACCGGAGCACACGCCCAGCCCGCAUCAAUCUGCACGGAGAAGAUCAUCUUAGACAGGAAGUCAGGUACAGGAGAGACGCAAGUCAUUUGGUAAAUCCAAAAUCAAACACCAUAUGUGGACCCCCCAAAUGUUUAUCUGUUUGUGUAGAUGAGGAAUACUUCCUGGUUAUGGAUUUACCAUUAACACAGAACAACCCCAGGGCCAAUCCCUGAUUCAUAAGGUAACAGCACAGCGUAAAGCAAAAUAGUUUACUUUACUAAACACGAGUAAACCUGCAAAAAUCAUUACUUUAAAAUUUUCAGUGCACCAGGGCUGCACUAUGCUGCAAAUAUGCUGCAAACACGCAUCCAGUGGGCAAUUAUGCAUGCUGUCCUAGGGGGCCGGGACAAGACACUAACAGAACAUGCCCAAUGCGGAGCCUGUGGGAUUUUAGUUUUAAGUCUGAGAACACAUCUCAUAGUAACAGAAAAAAAUACAGCCAUCAUGUGUGAUGAAUGCUGUUGUCUGAUGUCCACCCUCCACACCACACACUUUGAUUUCACUGUGGCGAUUACAAAGACUCAACAUCUCACAGCAUGACAAACAAACAACAGGACAAACAAACACAGAGGAUGAUCAGCGUGGUCACCUGGUUGUCCUAUCUGUCUUCUGUUUAGCAGCAAAAACAAGAUAAAGCAAAGGAUUGAACUCUUGCUGUCAGUAAAUGGACUGUGCUCUUGUGCUCUUUCUGGUUUCCUGGCCAUUAAAAACAGGUCUCAAUUAGACCACAUUCAAACACUGAUGGCAGAGGCUGCUAUUCAAAGUACCUUGAGUACUAACUAAUCCAACACACUAUUGGGGUGGGGGUCUUCCCUAAGGACACUUUGGCGUCUGAUAAAUCAAGCCCCGCGGUGGGUCCAAAGUCAUCUACUAUGUGGCCAGUCUAUGAAACACCAAAAGGAGGUCACACAUACUUACUAUAGGUUAUUGGAAAAAACACGGCUACACUAGAGCCCAUAAAUAUCAGCCUAGCCCUCUGAGGCCAAAUCAUCAUCUGACCGUAUCUCAGUUAUCCCAGGACAGUCCUCCUGGUGACUGGCCUGCACCAUGUUUCUUCUAAUGUAUGUAUAAUCAAUCUAUUCGUCCCAUGGGGUCUGUCUCAGUUGUUAACUAAUCAAUAACACUAUUCCCAUUAAAGGUAUUUUGGGAUCAAUACUGCAUUCAGAUUACAGCUAUGAGCUAAUCCAUACUAUUAAUAUCCAAUCAGCGAGUGAAUGAGCCCUGGACAUGGUCUUAAAUCCCAGCACAGAUAAACAAAGCAAAGUACUCUGUUUACAGUGUGUCUGUGAACAAAGAGGUGGUGUACUGGGAAACCACAGGGGUCAUACUGGGACCAGCUGCUCUGAAGCAGGCCAACCACAGACAUCAUCACUGUACAUGAGGUAAACAUGGUUUAAUGCGCCGCGGAUUAUCUGUGUGACAGCACUGCCUACAGGGAACUUAUUUACUGUGAGUUUCAGUUGAAUUACUUUGACUCAUACUCUUCUUUGUUUAGUAUUUUCUGAGUAUCUUAUUUCUGAUUUUGGGCAGGUAUCACAGUGACAUAGAACUCUACCGUUUGUGAAGGUUACUAACUAAGAGUAGCAGAUCGUAUGUGGCAACAAACUGCUCGAUAUGCCAGUUAAAAAAAUAAAUAAUAAAUUACUGUUCAGGAUAAAUGACUGUCUGCAAGAAUUUAAGUGAUAUCCUCCGGAACACCAAAAGAUAGAGCUGGAAGCUGGUUUAUCAUGGACCUAGUACACCAUGCUGAGUUACCCCCAAAUUCCACCACAUGCAGAACGGCACCGCUGCAGCAUCCAGAAAAAAAUAGAACCCUGGCGAUCAGAACUGCAGGGGGGCAGAAAGAAGCUGGUGGACUUUGACACAUUAACUUCAAUAGAAACAAUCAGCACUGCUUUUUCGCCACCGUUCCGCAUGCGAUGGAAUUUGAGGGGUUACAUGCACUGAGACUGUGCCCUCAAAACAGGAUGUUCCCCCUGACCUGCACUACUUCAGUCUGCUUUAAAGGCAGAACAAAUCCAAAAGGGUCCUGCUCUGCACCAAAAGCUGCUCUGAGGACUGAAUUAAAAAGUGAUCUGCCAGUUUUCAUGUUCAAAGUUGGUCCUCAAUAGUUAGGGUAUUCUUCUUUUGGGUACUAUCACAUCUGGGUCAUUUGGUGAAACAGUCCUUAAAUAUGGGCUGUUUCCCACCUUGAUAAAGUUUGAAUGGAUAUACUCAGCUUUUGUUCAACCAAACCCUGGAGCAGGUCUUCUGCAGUAAAAAGACAUUUAAUCCAGCAGGUAGAACAGACAGCAGCUUGACUCAUCAUUGUAGUAGUACUAAACUGAUAGUAACAGAUGCACUGAUACAGCGAUUAUGAGAUUAGGUCUCUGGGUAACACAUGCUUCAGUGAGUCCACUGCAGUUUUGUUUGGCUCAAAGAAAUGAUUAAAAAUGUCCCAAUCUGGGUAAAUAGCCCAUCUACAAACCCAAUUUAUUUUCAGUAAGCACAGCUUCCCAAUCUUCAUAAUCCAGGUUUUAAACUCCAGACUUGAAGGGUGGCUGAGGAACAGUCUGGAAACUUCUCUGACAGAUCAACCCAACUUGUACAUGGUGUGCUGCCAUGCCUGGAGCAGAUGACUGCACAUAGAAAUCCAUGACUCGCUGAUGUCAGAGGGAAAAAAUGAGUCAAACACUGGAACUUUUAAAGCCCAAGGGAUAUAUAUAUAUAUAUUUACAUAUAUAUAUAUAUAUUCUCACAGUAUGUAUUUUCAAAAGCUUUUUCACAGUUUUAUGUUCUAAAUCUUGAAAGCAUUUAGAGUCAUGCAUCUCUUGUCACCAUACUUCAUUUCUGUGUCUCUCACAUGUUGACUAUGUGCAUGUUGUUGAGGUUUUCCUUAUCAUCCUCCUCCCUGCACAAAGUUUAAAAAACUCCCAAGGCUUUUGCAGUGAAAUGUCAUGUCAGCUCUUGACACCUGAGAUGAAAAAUGGCUGUCUUCUGACUCAGGCAGCACAGAUUGGGAGGCUGAGGACAAAAUCUUUGGUCCAGCUAAAUGAGACUUAAACUCAUGGUGGACUCAUGGUGUCAUGUAAACCUGUGUGAGCUGGGCACAUAAAUAUGAGUAAAAUAAAAACUUUAACCCUCAUCAUUUAAUCAGCUGGGGUCUUCAUUUAUAAAUCAUGUUUAACAAGAACAUAGUUUUUUCUUUGGUUGCUUAGCUAGCCUGUUCAGAGGUCAGAGUUCUCAGUCAUGGGGUGAGGUUUAAUAGAGAGUAAGAAGCUAAACUUUUGCCCCAAGCAAGUGUCCACUCUGAGAGUCAAGUCUCAAAACACAAGUACACACACUGAAACCUUACCCUUCAGGUACAGCAAGUGCUUUAUUCAAAGAGACAGUGAUUCAGUAAAGGUGGACUUUGUGCAACAUCCUUCUGCUCUCUGCACAUGCAUGAAGCAAAGGUGCGUCAGGCCAUCCAUAAUGAACCACUUGGAGAGCAGAGAGAGGUACAAGACCUACUUUGUUGGUCUUGGCCACUCCAGGUAUAUGCACCAAACAAAGCUAAUGGAUACAGACAGUAUGUGUGUAUGAAAAGGAGAGUAUGCCUCUGUAUUUGUCUUUGUGUUUUCCUUAAGGAGGUGGAUUAGAUAUAUAUGUGUGUUUACCUUGCUUGGGGCCAUAGGUGACCCUGACCUAAAGUACUGGAGGAAUACUGUGACCUGAUGGGACAUGCACAUGCAUCUUCCCUUCUCUCUGAUUAUACUCAGUGAGAUAUCAAGUCGAGUUUUUUGUUUUUUUUUUACUACCAUUAUACUGUUGAUGAGUACUGGAUCAAUAAUGAGCCUUCUUUGAAUGAGGGGACUUAGAUCAGGUACUUUACUGAUAUAAUCCAGGUGGGCAGGUUUGCCACACUCUGCAACCAAGCCAUACAUGGGGAUAAGCUGUGUUCUCAACAAGAAGUGAAUGACCACAGGGUGGUAUCUAAAUGGUGAUUUAAAACCUGAUCAGUACUAUUAUUGAGACUCAAAAACUUCAAUGAUAUUGACUGUUUGAUUGACAAGAUGCAAGUCUAAGGACCUGAAGUGUUCAAGAGCUGUCCAGGGUCCUGAAAUAUCUCUGAGCACUGAUUUAUUGUGUAGGUUAUAAUAUUGUAACUCGUUACUAGAAAUUUGAGGAUCACUACUACUGGUAAUAAUAAUAAUAAUAAUAAUAAUAAUAAUAAUAAUAAUAAUAAUAAUAAUAAUUUCUAAGGUUGAGGUGUUGUAAUAUUGAAACUUGUAUCAUGCUCAGACACUAUUUCUUAGUGGCGGUGUUUUAAAUAAAAUCAUACACAGUCCUCUUGUUUAGCUUCACCUUUAAUUAGAAAAUGUAAUUAGGAAAUGUAAUUUGAAAUAAGUUUUUUUCUAUAAAAAGUGGUGAGGCUGAGCAAGUGUAAUGUGCAAGAUUUUGUCUUUUUCAGGCCUUUGCUUCACACCCUCCACACUGACCUCAUAGGACAGUUUGAUAUGUGACCAACGUUAAAAAAGCUGAAUUAAAUGACCAAAUCUCCCAUAAGGAUGCUUUAGCAGCUAAAAGUUGACCUCCAAAUGUAAAUAAGACCUUCAUUAAAUGAUCAGUGAGUAGUGUGUCCAGUUUUUUAAUGUCUGGAACCAGUAUGGGAGGAAGGUAGCAGACCAGACCUCCGAUGGCAGUCUGAAAAAAUAGCCUUCCUUUACGUUUUCAAAAGCAAAUACUCACAAUGAGUGAUGUUGUGGCUGGUUAAUGAUAACAAGAUGAGAUUCUUUUUGUCAGAAAAAAGGCAGAGUGAUAUAACGUACAUCAGGGGACCAACAAAUGACACAAAACCAAAACAUUCCCAGAUAACUGAGAAGUUGAUUUGACUACAAAUCAGAACUUCAAAAAGCAUGGUUCACUCAAAAAGAAUGUGAUGUUUAGGUUUGAAAUGUGGUUUCAAGAUGGGAAUUCUUGUGUCUGCUAUUUUGUAAAUGGAGCUGCUGUGUGAGACUCCGAUAAUAAAGUCAUCAGCAUGAUUUAAAAGUGUUUAUCCGACACAAGUUUAGUGUGUGACUCUUCUCGUUCAUCACACUGUGAACUCUGUGCAGACUACCUUGAUGGCAUUAUGUCUGUAAUCACUCAGACAACGUAGAGCUCCCUCCAGUCAGCACUCCUCCUUUGUACUCCUCACCAGGAUCUGCGUUUUAAGAGCUGCAAAAACUUGUUUGAAAUGUUAAGAGAGACAGAAGUGCUGCAUUUGAUGUUCAGUGUGUGAAAUUGAAUGCUUUCCAGGCUAAAUGGUCUGUCUUUAGGAAAAAGAUAUAUUUAACAAGUUGUUCAACAUGACACGGAAACCCAGAGAAGGAAAGAGGAGCAGGAAACAGAGAGCACAAAGCGCUGAAAUAGAGGAACAGAGAACGCGUACAAAGCUGUGAGUCAUGAAAGAGGGAGAGCGGAAACAUCGGCAGAAAAAAGAGGAACAGUCUCUAAAGGCUGUUAAAAUAAAACCAGCUAAAUGAGUUGAUUAUAUAAAUAAGCUCAGAAAAUUUAGAGCAAAACACAGAGAGAGGGAGAGGGAGGACAUGAACGCCCAGAGGGAAGGGGAGAGAAUCGAAUGAAAGAAAGGAAGAGAGGAGUGGGUAAAUUCAUCUUUUAGUUUGAAAUUAAAACAGCUAAAUGAUCCAAUUAUCUAAACAAGCCCGGCGAUUGGAGUCGGACAAGAGUACAUUCAAUAAGAGAUGUUGAAUAAAAGAGGAGGAGGAACUCAUUAAAAUGAAAACAGCAAAACGAGCUGAUGUUCCUAAACGAGCUCAGGGAUUUGCGAUGCCUAUCACUGCGUGCGAGGCCCGGACAUCCCUUCAAUCAUCCAAAGCUAAUCUGUGAGGCCCCAAAAUAAACCAAGUCUGUGGAUCAACCUAAAUACCACCAACAUGCUACAGAGAUGCACACAGGAAAGCAAAGAAAAAACACUCGAUAUUUAACCCAUUGACAAAGACACAGCGGUUUCCUCUUUUCCAUAUACGAGCUCACAUGUAUGCCCUCCAGCAAGACUCAAGGCUACCAAUCCAAGCAAAGCCCUGGACUAAAACCCCCAUAAUGCACUGUUACAUUCACACCCGGAAGGUUAAAGGCUUCAUGUGGAUGCAUUAAGCUCUAAAAUAAAUAUGAAAUAAAAUAAUGUAUUUCAGAUCCAUAUCACAGCACUGCGCAUCAGUAUGCGAAUAAGACAUUAGUCACUAUUAGUAAAUUAAAGGCUCUUUCUCACUUUUCUAAAACUUAAUUGAACUGAUUAUUUCUUUAAUGUUCAAACACGAAAAAGUGACUGAAGCUCGAGGACCACAUUUCAAACAUGCAUCAGGUAGCAUUGAUCCGUAUGUCCAAAAGUAUCUGAUUCUCAACAGUCACACCUAACACACACAUCCCAAACCUCAUCCAUUAGCCGAAGGCUGCCAAGUCAACUUGCCUGAGGAAAGAACAACACUAAUGAAUUUUAAUGGGUGUGGUAACCUAAAAUAUUCAAAACACUAUGUGUGUAUGUGUGUGUUUGUGUGUGUAUGCGUGUGAAUGUGUGAGGUAAUGAUCUUAAAGUGUGCUGCUCUGAUGGCCGAUGCUUUAUCAGCGUAUAAAAAUACUUUAGUGUUUAAACUUUAAUAACAGUAUGAAGGUAUAAAAGCAAAAAUGCUUUACUGUAAAUUUUUCUUUGAUAUAGAUUUUUCAUGUUGUUAUAUAGGCUUCAGCAUAGGCAAACUUAUCUGAGUGUAAAUCAUGACAAGGGUGAUAACUUUAUUUCAUUAUGCAAUCUGCCAUUAAAAAAAGGGAUCUGAAUCUUGAACCCUAAAAAUAGACUUCAAAUCAAUCCUAUAUAAAAGAAGGCCACAGUCACAUUGUGUUGGUGUAAACAUGCUAUAGUACUCCACACAUCAGAAGAGUGGUAGAAACUUAUUUUUGAUGUUGGUCAUUUGAUAUAACUGUUUUCAAUGUAUUGGUCCCCUGCUCCCUGCUGCUGUACCUUUGCCCAGGUCUGAAGACAUUCAGCAUAUUUGAUAUUCUCAGCAGCAGCACAGCCUUGUCCAGGCACAUCCUUAGAUUUAAUCAGCUACUUUCUGAGACAUUCCUGAUGCUGCAGUGCAAAGGUCUCUAAAAUGUAAAUAAUAAAAUAAAAACAGCUGUUGCUGUGGUGACACAUUGUUUGCCAUUCAGGAUGCAGGAAAAUCAUGCAGCUCUGUACACAAGUUUUAGACUGUGGAUGUUGGCGAGGGAGACUGGGACAACAGUGUCCCCGAAUUAUCUGAAUACAACCCCGACAGAAUGUUUGACAUAGUUUUGAUAUUUGGUAGGAAUCUCGAUCCUGUCAAGACCAACAACAAUGUCUCUUGGACCCUUUUCAUGAACACAAAGGUAUGUCUUUCAUUCUGACUUUGUUGUAAAGUAACUAUGUAUUUUUUUGUGGUCAGUUUCCAGAGAUUGUACUCUUGUACUCUCUUCAAAAUUUAUCUUUAUAGAUCGCUGCUGUGGUCAAGCAAACUGCCACCUAUAGGUAAUGAGCAGUAUGUGAUACUUGACCUGCAUGCUCCAAAUUUAACAUAAUGCUUGAUAACGCUGUGUUUGCUAGCACGACCUACGAGUUUCUUAUUCAAAGACGACAGCUGUGACCUCCAUCAGCUGUCCUACACUCUUUGGAUGGGAGGCUCCUUUGAUUUAGAUGCUGUUUUUGGUUGUCUUGUACUGGGUUUCUCACAGCUGUUAAAUGCCAGGACCUUAAACACUCGUUGUUUUCAUGUUAUGCAGCUUCAAGCAUCUGUGUUUGUGGGUUUCCUUCUUCAUCAUCAGCCUGGCCUCCUCAACUUUUCAACUUUCUACAUUUGCAAGGGGCUCCACGCUGCUUGCAUUUUAAAUCAUUUUUAAAGUGAAAGAGCAGCUUGUACCCUGUCUUUAAGGGCGCUAAUAAUUUGAUAAGCGGAAGAACAUCUUGUCUUCCUUUGUGGUCCAAAGAGUAGGCACGCAGAUGUGUGUGCCCCCCUCUCUAGCUGUUUUUCCCUGACAGCCAAAAACACCUAUAGUGAAUAAAACAUCAGGUAUAAAGCCUUGACACAUAACCCAGUCUGACGGGCCCAACAGCCAGCGAUGUUGGGCUUCAGAGAGUUGCUGAUAAGGUUUAGAAGAGGGGGAUCAGAUUAGAGGAUUAAAUGAAGAUAAGGGUUGCAAAUUAUUCUCUAACUGACUAUCUGACGAUUGCUUAUCCUCUUCCUUUAGCACAACAAUCACAUCAUAGCUCAGUAGCCUAAAGAUUUCAAAAUAUUAAUUGGUGGUUAAAGAUUUUGUCCCUACUGAAACAUUUCAAAGCAAAAAGACAAGAAAGAGAUCUACAAGUAGAUUCUAUGUAGUCUCGUCUGUGGGUGUUUAAGGGGACAAUGUCUUUUGGGUGUAAUACUAUUGGAGAAUUACUUCUGUGCUAUUAUUGAAUAAUGUUGGGAUACUUCAUCCAUUCAGGUACUACAGUCAGAGAGAGAAGCCAAGACACACAAUUUUCAGUUAACCCUUUGUAUUCUUCUCUUUAACAGCGUUUUCACAGUACUCAUUUUUCACAUUGAUUGUACAUGGUUUCUGUUUAUAAAAAUAAACAUAAGGCGAGAAAUUAAAACAGUGUCUAACAGACAUAAACACGGUGUUAGCUUUAAUAACAGGAUAUAACAAGUAUACUCGGUAAAAUAUAAAUGAACUUAAUGCAAAUCAAGAGCCGUACUUGGUUGAAAACACAGACUCCUUCAACAUAUACAUUGAGUUAAUAUUACUUACUUCUUCACAAACGCACAACAAUCAACUUAACGAUCAACUUAGUAUUUGAUCGCGGCAUUUCACGGUAAUCUCUGCAAUUGGACUCCCAAACUGUCCGUAUCAAUGCCUGAACAAAAAUUGGUUAAAUCCCAAGGACCCAAACAGGUGCCUGAACAAAACGUACUUAAAGUGGUUUCAACACACACACAGGAAAAGAAAAACAUAGGAAAUUAAAAACAAAUACUGUAGACAGACCAAACCUUCUACUGUUAUCUAAAGACAGUAGGUAUAAUAUGGUUGGAGUUUCUAUCUCACUUGAGAGGAUGUGCUUUGGAAGAAGAACCUUGGCUGGGUUUCAAGCCUAUAAAAGGUGCGAGUUGAUUUUCAAAGCCUGCUUUGAGUCAUGAAGUCUGUGAGUUUUACUGUGAAUCAUGGUUUCUAAUUUACAAUAACAUAUCAUCAGCAGUGAGAGUUGUUAGGUGAGGGUAAAUGCAGUUUCGCACAAAAACUUCUGUUCAGCUAAAGUCUUUGACAGCCUAAUCUGUUUACACGUAAAUUUGCACAUCCCAGUUAUGCAUAAAUACACCAAAUGCUAUUACCAUGCAAAGAAGGCUUUAGCAGAGAGGGAGAAAACCAUAAAUGGGAUGAGUUGUAAACAUGGCUGGUAUUAAAACAACCAUUUUCCAUCUAUCUUAUCCAGCUUUGUCAGAAAUCGGAUGGGAAUAUUAUAAUGGUCUGGGUGGAGGUGUGUGGAGAGAAGCCGCUUUUUUGGUUGGCUGGACUCAGAAAAUGAGUUCACGGACAGCAGGGUCAAUCUCUGGGGCUUUGGAUUUCACACAGGCCCUUUAAAUACAGCAGGCCUUUUCUUUGACAGCUUUUAAAGCGCCUUUUAAUGAAUAAAAGAUCGUUUGUGAAGGCUCACAACAUAAUCGCAUCUGAAGGUCCUGACCACCAGAAACACUUAAUGUUCUCUGGUGAUGGACUUUGGCUUUUAAUUGCAGUGCGGAUCAUGUGUUUGCAGCUCAGUCUCACACCAAAAUCCCAACAAAGAAGAAAGUUUCAUCAGUGUGUAAAUUCAUACUGAUGACUGUGUUCAUUUGAACUGACUUGCGAUUAGAAUUUAACCAAAACGUUGAAAUUUCUCACAAGACUUCCUAACUGUGCUUUAAAAGCUUCAUGUUAGUCAGGACCUCGAAGUGAAGUCGUUAUCAAACCAACUCAGAGUCCUCUCAUAAGAACCAUUAAAGCUGUGUGUGUGUGUGUGUGUGUGUGUGUGUGUGUGUGUGUGUGUGUGUGUGUGUGUGUGUGUGUGUGUGUGUGUGUGUGUGUGUGUGUGUGCUAAAAAUACAUGAACUUAGCGGGACACUUUUGUCUUGGGUCAUUCUUCUGGAAAUUGCUCCAAGGGUGGGGUGAAGGCUUGAUGUGUUGGAGUACACGGUGAAUGUAUGGAGGAAUGAGGAGAGAGAUAGAGAUAGAGCAUGUAAAAUACAGGAGACAAAGAGAAAGACAGAGACACAAAAACAACAGGGAUACAGCCUCUGGCCUGUUCUACUUCUUGUUGUUUUGGAGAGGUUUAAUGGCUGCCCUAAAAUACACUGCCGUACACCCACACACACACACAUACACACAUACACGCACCUCUCACACAUGCCUGACUAGACCAUGCUUCCUUUGCUGUUUGAAAUGUUGCUAUCAAAUCUGAAAUGGACACAAAGCACAAACGAUACAGCAGAACGGCCAAACUAUUUCUGACACACAGUCUGUUUGCUCUGCUGAACUGUUUACUCUCAGGCAGUGAAGGAGACUACAUUAUUGAUAUUUUUAAAUGUUUCACAGCUUUGAACACCCUCAGUGAAAUUCAGCUCUUCUCCUUCACGUUGGAGUGCAGGAUGAAAUCUCUAUUUGUUGUUUUGAAAACCUCUCCGGGCAAACAUCUUAAUGGUCGGUUCAGCAAACGCAGGGUUACUUUCUCCGUUGUUGGCCGUGUUGAUAACCAGAGAGAGCAGAGCCAGAGCCAUGCGGGGAUUUUAUAAAAAGACCUUUAGAAAAUCUGGGGAAAAUUCAAAAUCAAAGAAAAUUAUCUCAGCACACACUUCAAAAAUCAAUGGGCUGGAAAAUGAGUACUUGGCUGGUUUCCUGCCAACAAUCAAUCCACGCCUGGUUACUCAAUGCUCUACUUUUGUUAAAUCCAGGAAAACUCUGCAAAGAUAUCACAAGAGGAUCUUUUAGCUGAGUGCUCAUGACCUCACCAAGAUCUCAAAGUGAACACCAAACCAUUAUCUCACUCACCCUAUAAUCUAAAGAGCCACAUAUGGUAUAAAGUACAUGGAGAUUGAUUGGGGGGUAAUCUGGGUCUGAUACCCUUUACAAGAGCUUAUUACACAUGUCAGUUAUAGCAAUGCCCAGACUUAAAUAAGUCAGUAUUGUCAGUGGCGGUAUAAUGUAGAUAUGACAUUUAUAUGACAGGAAAUAUGGGAGUUGAUUCCAGCAACUAGCAGUAAAUGUCACUGUUUCGGUCAGUGCAAGCACUCAGUUGUUUUUUUUUUUUUUUCUCAAAGCAUGAAAUCUAUAUUUUGGUUCCCUGCUCCGCUCCUCUGUUACUGAAAUAACCAAGUAGUAGGCCUACACUUUCACUGCUAAGAGCUACGCUCAAUGCAGGAGAGAACCAUAACAACACAGCAAUUUGCCCGGCCUCCCUCACACCUCCGCCCGCUGAAAGUUAACUUCCCCUCCAUUCCUCACAGAGAUGUGAGUCUCAGGAUUGGACAGAGCAAUAGAUAGCUCCAUAAAGAACCCGAGAUUUGCAGCCUGGACCUGCAUGUGUUUGUGUGUGUAUGUGGGUUUGAUGUGGGGCAGAGUUUAUGAACCUAUAAAGUCUUCAGGGAUAAAAGUCACACAACACUAGGAGGUUAAACGGCAGAUAGAAAGAGAGAAAGAGAAGAAAUAUGAGGUUCAUUUUGAAGACAGGGUUGACAGAGAUGGAGUCUGUCUCUGUCUCUAACUGUGGAUGUUCCAGCCAGAGUUUCUACUUUGCUUAAAAGCCUGUUCCUUCGCAUCCUCCCGAAAAAUCCUUAUAUAAGCCCCGUCUACCAUGUGUGGGUUUGGUGUGCGUGUGUGUGUGUGCAUGUGUGUGUGUGUGCAUGCAUGCGUGCGAGCGUCCGCGCGUGCGUGUGUGUGUGGCUGGCUGACUGAGUGUAAGUGUUGUUUCAUGCAUGGCUUUCUGCUCACUGAAAUGUAGUUUUUAAGGAGUGGGCAGUAUUUUCCAACAUUGCCUCAGUGUGCAUUAACACAUGUACUUUGUCCUCUAUGCAUACUUAUUGGGCGUCUCUAACGUGUGUCUGUAUUUAUUCAUGUGUAUGUUUGUAUGGGAGUUGGGACGGUCUCCUGUGUUUCUUUUGUGGGGGGAAAAGAGCCAGAGAAGAGGGCUGAAGGACUCCUCUUAGUUGCACAUGCUGAAACAGAUCCUUGUGUACCAUUAUUGAAAAUCUAAAGUGAGCAGCACUUGUACAUUUCCUGUGUGGACUCAGAAGUUGCUGAGAGCAUUGUGGUUUAAUGGCUUUUAAUGGUUCUAUGGCUUAAAACUCUUGCAUUGUUUGAGGACAGAUUUAAGAAAUGGCUGUGCCACAGAACGUUUGAGUUAUCUUUUAUUAUUAUACAUUAUGUGGCUAUGAAAUCAGCGAGAGUCGCUGUGAUGACGCUCGGUUCAAACAGCGUAUCCCCUGGGAGAGCUACGCAUUUGCUGAACGCCCAUAGGCUGUAUCAGGUGUCAAUCAUAGAAAACAUGAACCCCCUAAUAACUUUUAAAAACGGAGCUUCACAGAAAAAAGAGGACUUGAACAAAAACCAGCCUUCCUGUAACUACAUGUCAACAUCACAACCAGGGGGGAGAAAAAUUUAUGUUCUGUGUAAUAAAUUUCUAAAGUUUGUCCACAGCUCCAUAAGCUUUGCUGGCGGAGGCGGGAUUUAUGACCUAUACUGCAGCCCGUCAACAGAGGGUGCUGUUCUCGGAGUGGCUUCACCCCGCGAGGAGGCAGACUCUGUCCAUUCUUUGUACAGUCUAUGGGCAGGAGAGUUGGCAGGCUCGGCUCAAACAGCAUAUCCCCCGGGUGAGUAAGUAGCUCUAACCAAAGUUGUUACUUUCACCUCCUCUCUGUAUGGGGCCUCUCAAGUGACCACAAGUGAAAAGCUGUCACUGACUUGAACACAGCUAAAAUGCUUUUAUUUUUGUUUUAAUGUUUCUUUUGGUCAUAAUAUUUCACGUGUUGAAAUUAACCAACAAUGGUUCCUGAUUCAGCUUGUGUUGCUGUUGAAUCCCAGAGACUGCUAAGAUCAUCAUUAACACUGACAAAAACAACUUCCCAGACAGAGGCAGCAUUCAGCUUUUCAUUAAUAUUCAGGACGCAGGUGGAGGACAGCAGCCUGACACUGUGGGGGUGUGACACACAUACACACAGCCUCACACACUCGCACUCACUCACUCUCCUUGAACCCCUGUACCAAAGUCCUGCUUUCAUAUAAACACCAGAGCAGCUUCUCACUGUUUUUCCAUCUCUCUGCUUUAUUCAGAGUUACUGAUGCUCACCGUCUCUGUGUGCUUCAUUCAGCUCUGCAGUGCUUCAGAAACAGAGAAACGACACUGAUACUAAGUGAUGGAGUAAAGAGGUUAGUUUUUGCCCAAACAGUAAUGUCCUAUUAACCCUUUAUAUAGAUUUUUUUUUUUUAAUUUUGGGUUUUAAGCGUCAGUCCCUACAAAACCAAAAAAAUGUAAGACCUACAAUUCAGAGUCAGAGUCAGG